rnacentral:rRNA from 1 species
GAUGAACGCUGGCGGCGUGCCUAAUACAUGCAAGUCGAGCGAACAGAUGAGGAGCUUGCUCCUCUGACGUUAGCGGCGGACGGGUGAGUAACACGUGGAUAACCUACCUAUAAGACUGGGAUAACUUCGGGAAACCGGAGCUAAUACCGGAUAAUAUAUUGAACCGCAUGGUUCAAUAGUGAAAGACGGUUUUGCUGUCACUUAUAGAUGGAUCCGCGCCGCAUUAGCUAGUUGGUAAGGUAACGGCUUACCAAGGCAACGAUGCGUAGCCGACCUGAGAAGGUGAUCGGCCACACUGGAACUGAGACACGGUCCAGACUCCUACGGGGGGCAGCAGUAGGGAAUCUUCCGCAAUGGGCGAAAGCCUGACGGAGCAACGCCGCGUGAGUGAUGAAGGUCUUCGGAUCGUAAAACUCUGUUAUUAGGGAAGAACAAAUGUGUAAGUAACUAUGCACGUCUUGACGAUACCUAAUCAGAAAGCCACGGCUAACUACGUG